rnacentral:rRNA from 1 species
AAUAGAUACCCUGGUAGUCCACGCCGUAAACGAUGUCGACUUGGAGGUUGUUCCCUUGAGGAGUGGCUUCCGGAGCUAACGCGUUAAGUCGACCGCCUGGGGAGUACGGCCGCAAGGUUAAAACUCAAAUGAAUUGACGGGGGCCCGCACAAGCGGUGGAGCAUGUGGUUUAAUUCGAUGCAACGCGAAGAACCUUACCUACUCUUGACAUCCAGAGAACUUAGCAGAGAUGCUUUGGUGCCUUCGGGAACUCUGAGACAGGUGCUGCAUGGCUGUCGUCAGCUCGUGUUGUGAAAUGUUGGGUUAAGUCCCGCAACGAGCGCAACCCUUAUCCUUUGUUGCCAGCGGUUCGGCCGGGAACUCAAAGGAGACUGCCAGUGAUAAACUGGAGGAAGGUGGGGAUGACGUCAAGUCAUCAUGGCCCUUACGAGUAGGGCUACACACGUGCUACAAUGGCAUAUACAAAGAGAAGCGACCUCGCGAGAGCAAGCGGACCUCAUAAAGUAUGUCGUAGUCCGGAUUGGAGU